CCUACGGGAGGCAGCAGUGAGGAAUAUUGGUCAAUGGACGAGAGUCUGAACCAGCCAAGUAGCGUGAAGGAUGACUGCCCUAUGGGUUGUAAACUUCUUUUAUAUGGGAAUAAAACGUUCCACGUGUGGGAUUUUGUAUGUACCAUAUGAAUAAGGAUCGGCUAACUCCGUGCCAGCAGCCGCGGUAAUACGGAGGAUCCGAGCGUUAUCCGGAUUUAUUGGGUUUAAAGGGAGCGUAGGUGGAUUGUUAAGUCAGUUGUGAAAGUUUGCGGCUCAACCGUAAAAUUGCAGUUGAAACUGGCAGUCUUGAGUACAGUAGAGGUGGGAGGAAUUCGUGGUGUAGCGGUGAAAUGCUUAGAUAUCACGAAGAACUCCGAUUGCGAAGGCAGUUCACUGGACUGCAACUGACACUGAGGCUCGAAAGUGUGGGUAUCAAACAGGAUUAGAUACCCUUGUAGUC
rnacentral:rRNA from 1 species